UCACUGCUUGCGCAGGCAGUUUCAGUAGAGUUCCCAGCAUUACCUGUUGGCAACUACUGAUAGGGGUUGCGCUCGUUAUGGGACUUAACCCGACACCUCACGGCACGAGCUGACGACAGCCAUGCAGCACCUAGACAGUUGUUCUUGCGAAAAGUCUCCUUUCAGAGACGGUCAACUGUCUUUCAAGCCCAGGUAAGGUUCCUCGCGUACCAUCGAAUUAAACCACAUGCUCCUCCGCUUGUGCGGGCCCCCGUCAAUUCCUUUGAGUUUCAACCUUGCGGUCGUACUCCCCAGGUGGAUCACUUAAUGCUUUCGCUUAGUCGCUGACUGUGUAUCGCCAACAACGAGUGAUCAUCGUUUACAGUGCGGACUAC
rnacentral:misc_RNA from 1 species